rnacentral:misc_RNA from 1 species
GAUGAAGAACGUAGCGAAAUGCGAUAAGUAAUGUGAAUUGCAGAAUUCAGUGAAUCAUCGAAUCUUUGAACGCACAUUGCGCCCGCCAGUAUUCUGGCGGGCAUGCCUGUUCGAGCGUCAUUUCAACCAUCAAGCCCCCGGGCUUGUGUUGGGGACCUGCGGCUGCCGCAGGCCCUGAAAAGCAGUGGCGGGCUCGCUGUCACACCGAGCGUAGUAGAUUUUAUCUCGCUCUGGGCGUGCUGCGGGUUCCGGCCGUUAAACCACCCUUUUAACCCAACGUUGACCUCGGAUCAGGUAGGAAGACCCGCUGAACUUAAGCAUAUCAAUAAGCGGAGGA